CAUUGACUGUCUGAAGCUCGUGUUUAUGUAUACCCCCGUGUCGGUUUGUUUAUACCCAGUAAUGUUGAAUAACGAUUGACUUGUUAGGUUGACUUCAAGUUUUAGAUUGUGGUAAAGUGAAAGUAUUACGUAUUUAUUUGGGUACUGUGUAUUAAGUUUUUGUGAUUCUAAUAAAAUAUUUAGAGAUCUUUUAAUUCAUAAGGGUUUGGUAAAAAUAUUAAGAAAUAAUAAUAAAAUAAUAAAUAAGUUUUGAAAUUAAACGGAGAUUAAUUUUAUGUCUCGAAUAGGCAAAAAACGAAGACGUGGCAAUGUCGUAGAAUCAAUAGGCAGGCAAAGUUAGUAAACUUUCGCCAUGUAAAGCGGUGAUUGCACACUUUCGCCCUGUUUUUCUAUAUGUAAAAAUGUCAAUGGAUGACUUCGUGCACCGUUCACAAGCGAGCGUGCGGGUAUUCUCGUGUGAUACAAACAAACAUCGUCGAGCGGCGGGCGCGGCCACAGCACCGCACUUGUUUGUUCACGCGUCGCCGGCGUGACCACCUUGUUUACCAUUGCGAACUCCUCACGAUCUCCGCAUUCAACAGACCGUUACGGCUGCAAUCAUUCAACUAUCGUAAACACAAACGUAUCCUUCAGAUACUGGGUACACGCAGAUUGUUCAGUUAAUGCUGCCGCGCAAUAUGCAUGAUUUGCACGACCUUUAACACGCACUAGUGGUACGCUCACGUGGGUAGGUGUAAUAGCCAAAAAUAUUUGCAUCAGAUGUCUUCAAAAGCUCAUAUUAUUUUCCAGUUUGUCGUGUAAUAAUUAAUUUAUUUGGGAUUAAAUUUGAUGUAAGUAUCUUAUUUGGUACAAAAAUUAUGUAGCAGUUUAAUAAUUGCUUCAAGAUUUCCUCGAUCAGUCAGUGGGGAUAACAAAACAAUAUGCUACCUUCUUAUUGCUUACUAGGUACCAUGACAAGAGUUUUGCAAAAGCAGAUAACUGUAAAAUAAUUAAAUAUUUAUUUACAUAUCGCUCUUUACCCAAAUAUUGUUAUCUAGAUAAAAUUGAAACGCCGACGCCAUCGCCACAAUGUUUGUCGUACGUCAUCACUGAUGUUGUGGCGUAAUACUUUGCGGAGGAGGUUAUGUACACCCACAUUCUUUAUCUUUUCUGAUAAUUUUGUAGGGCUUGUGCUUUGUGGAAAAAUACAGGUUGCACCGGAAAGUAACCUACUUAUAAUUAUCCCAAAACAUCAAAAAUCUAAAUGAAGAUUUAGUAUAAAAUCAACGAUUGUUUAUGAACGUAAACAAAGGUUGGUGUCGCAUCAUACAUAAGUACUUAAUAAUAAUUAGAGGUCGUUCUGAGUGCGACGAAGGAUGUCUGCUGUUGAAUGGUGUUCAACACAGGUUGUUUAUACUUUGUGAUUAAUGAUCAUGCAGUGAGAAUUCCUCAUUCAUCUUUCGUUUUUCUUCAUUUUAAUAAUGAUGGUACAGUGUCGUACGAGCUAUCCUCGUGACCGGACGUUUUACUAAUUAGUUAUUCCAUUUAAGCGCUUAUCGCAUAUUUUGUUUACGCGCGGCCCAACCGGUUUCCCCGGUCGGGCUUGCAGCUGUUGUUUGUGCAUAUGAGUGAGUCGAACGUAAAUGAAUCAAAUAUAAUAAAUUCGUUAUCGAGCGCUGACGAGUUAGAGGACGGUACAAACAUGGAUAUUGAGGACAAUACACAACAGGUUGAAACGGAGUUGAUAGGAGGGAAAAGGAUAAGGGAUGAAAACUCUUCAGAGGAUGGAUGGAGUGUAGUUAAUAGAGGGAGAAGCAAACUUAUAUGUAGUAGGGAACAGCACGAUGAGAGAAUAAGAGAAGAGAGAACACAGGUAUGCGUCACGUGUAAAGAACCUUUGCCGAAACAAUUCGCUUUGGCACGCCUAUUUAAGACACGCAAUAUUCCCAGCGGCAAGAUCUAUAAGAUUAAAUACGUACAUCAGUAUAAAAUGCUGAUUACGUUUGAUAAUGAUAUGGGUGCAGAGGAAUUUAUAAAGUGUUCGGUGUUUACUGACAUGGGUUGGUCUUGCCAAAAGACUUCGGAAGUAGGUGUAUCAUACGGACUCAUUAGAGCAAUGGAACUUGACAUUUCUGAUGAAGAUCUUAAAAGUAAUUUAUCAAGCAGUGCUGAAAUAACAUCGAUUAAAAGAUUAAAUAAACGUUGCUCGGAUGACCCCGAAGGUAACGGCUGGUCUCCGAGUGAAACAAUUCGGCUAGGGUUCAAAGGGCCCUCCUUACCAGCUUAUGUUUAUAUUUACAACCUGAGGAUUCCAGUGGAGCGGUUUGUAUUUCCGGUUACUCAAUGUGCUAACUGCUGGAAAUUUGGCCAUUUAAAGAUAAGAUGUCCAUCCAAGCAGCCUGUUUGCCCCAAAUGCUCAUUAAAACACCUCAAUUGCACAACCACUUCAUUCACUUGUGUAAAUUGUUCAGGCUGUCAUAUGGCGCUCGAUAAAGUAUGUCCAUCUUAUAAGAAGGAAAAGAAGCUACGCGAUAUUAUGUCAGAAUUUAACUGCACUUAUAGGAAGGCGCUCACCCUAUACGUUCCGCCUUCCCCCGUCCAAAUUCCUCAAGUGGUUGCCAAUCCAACGCUCGACGGCAGCCUGACUUAUGCAGAAAUUACCAAAUCCAAACCACUAACAGCGGAGGCAAAUGUUGGUACAGCCUUGGAAAUAAACGACCCAGAUACAGCGACUACAAAUAUACGAGCUAAACCAAAACGGACUCUGAAGAAGCAUCGCCGACCAGUGACCCCCACGCCUUCUGAGAACAUACUAUGGCAUCAUAAUCCCGAGUCUUCAGAUUCUUCCGAAAAAUUGGACAAUCCUUUGGCAAAUAAGAAUGAACAUCUCGAUAAGACUUUACAUAAUUUGAGUUUUUGGCAUAUGAUACGAAAAAUUAGUAAUAUUAUAAAAAGUAAGAAAUCUCUUCAAAUUAAAAUCAAACAAUCACUUUCCAUAUUUACAGAGUGGCUGACACAAAAAAUUGUAAGUAGUUUAUCUAUUGAUUCGAUAUUUGAUUUAUUUGUCGGAAAUGGCUAAUGAUAAUGUUUAUACAAACUUAAAUAUUAUGCAAUGGAAUUGCCAGAGCAUACGACCCAAAUCUCAUUCACUCGAAUUACACCUAAAUCAGGAAAAAAUACACAUUGCCGUGUUAAGUGAGACUUGGUUGGAACCCGAAAGUUCUUUUAGAAUUAACGACUACAAUACGUAUAGGUUAGAUAGAGAAGAUCGUUACGGUGGUGUCGCCGUUAUGACUCAUCGCUCUGUAAGGUCUAUUGUUUGCCCAACACAAAGUCGUAAUCCUGGUAUUGAACUAUUGCAUAUUAAAAUUUUAAAUUGUCAGCAUAUUGAGAAUGUAAUCUCCAUUUAUUGCCCGUCGACGGUACACACCACUCCAAGUGAUUGGGACGCAAUCUUUUCUAUUGCUAACAGAAAAACUCUCAUCUUAGGCGAUUUUAAUGCUCACCACUCAAAUUGGUCUGUAAGAACUGAUCGACGCGGCUCCGAAAUAUUUGACUCCAUGUUGGAUUAUAAUUUCAUUCAUUUAAACGAUGGUAGCUUCACUAGAAUUCGAAUGGUUGAUGGUGUUCUCCAGAAGUCUAGCCCUGAUAUCUCAUUCGUUUCUGUAGAUUUAUCCCUGUUAUUUACGUGGAAGCCAACAAACGAAUCGCUCGGUAGUGAUCAUUUAAUAAUUAAAUUGAUUUGCUCGCUUAAUAUUAGCACAGACUAUCAACAUAAAAGAAAUUUUAAAAAAUCUGACUGGACUUCUUACGCCACAUUUAUAGAUGAACAAUUACAAAACUGUAUUAUAUCCCAGGACCCUCAGAGUUCAUAUGACCAAUUAUAUAAUAUAAUUCAAAAAGCCGCUGACAAGUAUAUUCCAAAUAUAAGAAUUCCUCAAAACAUUUCUAGCUCAUUUAAGCCAAAACCAUAUUGGUCCCCAGAUCUGUCCAAGGCGGUUGCGGAGCGGCGUUUGGCUUUGGCGAAGCUGAGAAGUUGCCCCUCUCCGCGUAAUUUAGAUAUCCUCAAGGAGAAAAUAAGCACUGCUCAGAGGCUUAUUCGCAAGGCUCGGUGUAAAUCUUUUCAACAGUUUUGUACAUCUAUUGACGAGACCACUUCUGCAUCCGAAAUGUGGCGUAAGAUGAGGUGGUUGAAAAGUCGGCAAGUGCCUAACACCAGUGUAGACAAAGAGAAAGCCCAGCGCCUACUUAAAGAUCUCACUCCAGAUUUUGUAAGUCCUCCGCAGCCUUCUUUUAGUUCCAAUAAUGCCAUGCUAGAGUCUCCAAUCUUAAUGUCUGAAUUAAUCAACUGCAUCAAGAAUUGCGAUACAACUCCUGGGGCAGACCAAAUUUCCUUUUCCAUGAUUAAACACCUUCCGCCUUCCGGUAAACAAAUGUUGCUUCAAAUAUAUAAUCAAUGUUUUUCUGUGGGUUUUGUUCCUCAUCAAUGGCGCCAAAUUAAAGUCGUCCCAAUCCCAAAGCAUAGUUCAGCCUCAUCUUUGCGCCCUAUCUCCUUAAUAUCAUGCAUCUGUAAAAUUUUUCAUGCCACUUUGGCCAAGCGUAUAGAAUGGUUCUUUGAAAAACAGGGUUUAUUUUCUGAGGACAUGGUAGGUUUUCGUAAGGCACGAUCUUCUCUCGACAAUCUCUCUAGAUUAGUGUCGGAAAUACAACUAGGAUUUUCAAAGAAUUGGGUGACAGCGGCAUGUUUCAUUGACAUUGAAAGUGCCUACAACAAUGUUGAUGUCUCCUGCCUGGUACGUAUUUUGGAUCAGUUUGAGGUUGGGUCAAAAGUCUGUACCUACUUGUGGUCAUUUUUAUCAAACAGGCAUCUGCAUGUGGUUACGCCCGAUUGCGAAAUUGUCAGAUCUACUGGCCGUGGGCUAGCCCAAGGAGACCCGCUAGCUCCACUUUUAUUUAAUAUUCUUACAUCGCAUAUAUGUCAUAAUAUUACUCAGGUUAGUAUCUCUCAAUAUGCUGAUGAUUUUGUGUUGUAUUCGAACAAAAAUAAUUUAGAUUUAGCAUUUGAAGAUCUUCGGUCUGCUUUACGAUACACUAUAAUGUUAAUUGAUAAAUUAGGUUUAACGAUUUCUCCAAAUAAAACUAAGAUAUGUGUUUUUAAAAAAGGAUGUUUUAGGAAAUCAAUUAAUUUUGGUUUAGAUGAUGAUAUUUCAAUUGAUGUUGUUAGUAAUAUAAAAUAUUUAGGUCUUUGGCUGGAUAGUUCGUUAAGAUGGGGUAAGCAUAUUAAUGAAACCGCCCAGAAACUACUAAAAUUCAUUAAUCUACUUAAAGUUUUAUCAGGUCCGGGAUGGGGAGUCCACCAAAAACAUAUAAGACGUCUAUAUAUUUCCAUAAUUCGAAGCAGAAUUGAUUAUGCCAGUUUCUUAUAUGACAAUAGCUGCAACUCUAAAUUAAUUAAAUUAGAUCGUAUUCAAAAUCAGGCAUUGCGCGUUAUUGGAGGAUUUAUACGCAGCACCCCAAUACAUGUUAUGGAAAGCGAGUUAUGUAUUCCACCACUUUUUAUACGUCGUAAAUACUUAGCCAGUAAAUUCAUUUUAAAAUCAAAAUCUCUUCUCAAUAAUAAAACUAUACAAUUACUAGAAAAACUUUCACUAGUCACAGGUUCCAGUUAUUGGCGCAAUAAAAAGUUGCCGUUACUCAUUAACAUCCUUUCACAGUAUGACUCUUCUCCUGUACACUCUUGUGCUCAACUUGGAAUGUUUUCCCUCGAUAAGUGGAUCAGUAGCAUAGAUUUGUCCCAUAUCGUCAUUGAUAAAAUUCCUAGUAUCAGUAAAGCUAAACGUCAUUACAAUGUCAUACAGUUAAAACAAUUAUGUAUUUCAUAUAUACAAGAUCAAUAUUCAGACUAUCAUAAAAUUUUUACUGACGGUUCCAAAGACAAACUUUCGGGAGGGGCAGCCUUUUGGGACCCAGUUCUGAUAAGCCAUUUGAAGUUUAAAAUUGAUUCAGAUAUUUCCAUUAUGCACAUUGAGCUGAUUGCUAUAUUGGAAGCCUUAUCCUAUAUUCUGUCGGUCAAUGGCGAUAAAUUUGUGAUUCUGACAGAUUCCAAAAGUUCGCUGCAACAUUUGGCUCGGAACACUUCUCACAUGCGAGGUAUUCCGACAGCCUUUGCCAUAUAUGAAUCAAUCUUAAAACUUCAAUCCAGUGGUAGAACAGUUCGUCUCCAAUGGAUUCCGUCACACGUACAGUAUGAGGAGAAUGAUGUGGUGGAUAUGCUCGCCAAGCAAGCAUGCGUUGAUGGUGUUACCAUGAAUGUUACCCCACUGUUUUCGGACUAUUUUAGAAAAGCAAAAAAUAAGUGUUUUGAUCUUUGGCAGGAGUAUUUUGACGAAAGGUCAAAAGAAAAGGGGAUUUGGUAUCGGACUAUCCAGUCAGAGAUUCCUCGGGUUCCAUGGAUUGAUUGUGAUCUCAAUAAAAUUUUAGUCACUAUUGCUUUAAGGCUUCGCUCCGGACAUAUUCCAUCAAAUAAGUUUAACUAUUUAAUGAAAAAAGUUCCGUCGCCAUGUUGUGAUUCAUGCGGAGUGGUCGAGGAUGUCUUCCAUAUCUUGAUGGAAUGUGCCCGGAAUGAAAAUGUUAGGAUCCACAUUUUGGGAUGGCAAAGAACGAAUGAUAUCGGUUUCUGUAACGCUGUUCUUGCUCAUCCAACAUCUGACGGAGCGAAACAUUUAUAUCAAUUAGUUAUAAGUAGGUAGAUCGUAAGCUAUUGAUAAGUACUAAACAUUAUUUAUCUCGAACUGGGCGAUGUGGUCGCUAAGCGACAAAGCCCUUUAAAAUAAAUAAAAAAAAAAAAUAAAAAAUAAAAUAAUGAUGGUAGUCAAAUAGCUCAUAAUAACUAGCUAACUGUUAAACAAACACGUGAAUGCUGACUAAACGUUAGUUAACCCUAAAACGGAUGUCAAUUGUAGGAAGAGUAAACAAAAGUGCCAAGUUAAAUGCACUGCAUCCGUCUCUACCCGAUUAAACUGACGAUAGUACAUAGAGCCAGCCUUAGUAUAUUUAUAUCAUUUCUACACAAGAUAAAAUAGUCAAACCUCCAUUAUUUGUUUUGCUCGGACAAAUCUCAACAUUACAUAAAGUCAUGUGGGUUAUGUCGCAAACAGCAAAGCAAUAGUGUAAAGGAACAUUGAGUGGUGGGGAUCUAGGUCGGGUAUGAAGUCGGUGUUAGUAGACGGUGGAAUCCGUUGGUGUGGGAAUGCGAGUGUAAGUACCGUUGCGACGGUGGUCUACACCGCCGCCGCCGCACCGUCCCAACGCAGUGCCCCAGCUGCGGAAUGCGAGACCCAUUUGCGGCGCUUACAACAGAGCUUAAUUGUUAGUGACUCACUUCCUAACCAAAUUUUAAUCAAAAGCAAAGUUGCUUACAUUAUUAUUUGUAAUGUUGAUUAAAAUAAAUGAAAACUAGUAGAAAGUUUCCGACCUAAUGUAAGUAACAAUUUAGAUAAACAAACUUUGUUUUCAUAGUACUCUAUUUAAGAUAUUAUACAAUGAUUUUUUCCUCACUAUUUAAUAUUGUAUUAAGUUUAUUUAUAGUAUCCAACCUCGGAGACAGUCUAUCUCUUAAGUAACGUACGUAAUUAGCAGUGCUGUGACCUAGUAGCAAUUAUAGUUUGUAACUCGUCGCCUUACCCUCCCCCCAGUAUUGGAUUUUUCCACUAGUAAAUACACAUCUCGGAAGAGGCUAGCGCCCACAAAGACUUUCACUGAAAGCAGUGUCGGCGAGACAAUUUUGCCAAUGCCAAAAUAAUGUCUUAACCUAAAAAACAAAUGUACAGUGGAAAUUGAAGAAUGGACAUUCCCGCAAAGUAACUGUUAUAUUAUAGUUACUUUCAUUUGCCGCUUUUCAUUAAGUUUGCUUUUGGCUAAUAUACCGUUAAACACGAACUCGCGGUAUUCUGCAGCGUUGCUAGAAAGAGACAAAAUUGCGAAUGCAACUGCUAUCUCUAUCACCACUCACGUUGAAUGGAAGCGUCAUUUUUUGUUCGACGACGGCCCCGUAAAAAAUGAACAAAAACUCGAGCUACGAACUCGAAAAAUUGGAUCAUCGAACUGUAGGCGAGGCCAGUGAACGUGGCAGGCGGAGAACAUUUUGACUAUUUAAAUCCUCGAUGCUGAAAUCUUACAUUUGAUAUAGUAAAUAUUUGCAAUAUUUUUUGGAAAUAACUGAAUUAAAUAUUCAUAAUAUUAUAAAAACACCAAAAAGUGACUAUAAAUGAACUUUAAAUUCAAAACCAUUAAUGGCCAAAAAAGAGGUCACCGUUUUAGGACCUCCAUGCAAAUAAAAACAAAAAUAUCGUUGACGUUCCAUUGACAAACUGUUGUAAACACGUCAUGAUGAAUUUUAAAUUAACGGCCGAGCGUCUAGUGAGUUACGGGCCCCAAUUGCUGCGGCCGAAAUCAUAGUAGAGACAC